ACCGGAGGGGGGCGGGUCAGGAAGUGGGGGCGCGGCGGCCAGGAGCGGCCCUGGAGCGGCCAAGAGGUUCUGUAGUGCAGAGGGUGGGAGACUCCGGGCCGCGCUGGAGCAGGGGGUACUCCCCGGCCUCCGCUGAGACGAUGGCGGAGGACGAAGGACCAACUAUAGAACUGCGCCAAAGAAAGAAGCCAAAGUCUUCAGAAAAUAAAGAAUCUGCCAAAGAAGAGGAAAUCAACAGCACUCCAAUUCCUGAAAGAGUUCCAAAACAUAUAUUAUUUCAGCGCUUUGCAAAGAUAUUCAUUGGCUGUCUUGCAGCAGUUAUUAGUGGUAUGACGUAUGUUCUCUAUUUAUCAGCAUACCAUGAACGGAAAUUCUGGUUUUCUAACAGGCAGGAGCUUGAACGGGAAAUCACAUUUCAGGGUGAUAGUGCCAUUUACUACUCUUAUUAUAAAGAUAUGUUAAAGGCACCUUCAUUUGAAAGAGGUGUAUACGAACUGACACACAAUAACAAAACUGUAUCUCUGAAGACUAUAAAUGCAGUGCAGCAAAUGUCUUUAUAUCCAGAACUUAUUGCCAGCAUUUUAUAUCAAGCAACUGGUAGCAAUGAGAUUAUUGAGCCAGUAUAUUUCUAUAUUGGCAUUGUUUUUGGAUUGCAAGGAAUAUAUGUUACUGCUUUAUUUGUUACGAGUUGGCUUAUGAGUGGAACUUGGCUAGCAGGAAUGCUAACUGUUGCAUGGUUCAUUAUUAACAGGGUAGAUACAACAAGAGUUGAAUAUUCCAUUCCUUUAAGAGAAAACUGGGCACUGCCAUAUUUUGCAUGCCAAGUUGCUGCACUUACAGGCUAUUUAAAAAGCAACUUAAAUUCUUAUGGAGAGAUCUCAAGAUCCCAGUUGCAUCAGAAUAUCAAGCUCAGAUCUUCUGUGCAGAGGUUUUGCUACUUAUUGAUGAGUGCUUCAACUUACACGUUUAUGAUGAUGUGGGAGUACAGCCACUAUCUCUUGUUUCUUCAAGCAAUAUCUCUCUUCUUGCUAGAUAGUUUUUCACUGGAGCAAAGUGACAAGGUUCAUGAAGUUUAUAGAAUCUAUAUAUUUUCUCUCUUUCUGGGAUAUUUACUGCAGUUCGAGAAUUCAGCUUUGUUGGUGUCUCCUUUAUUAAGUUUAGUAGUAGCCUUAAUGCUUGCUAAGUGCCUUCAGCUGAAUGUGAAAAAAGAAACUUUCGUAGCCAAAAUAAUGAAAGUAAUAAAUUUUUACUUGGUGUGUACUCUGACAGUGACCCUGAAUGUUAUAAUGAAGAUGUUUGUCCCACACAAAGAAAAUGGACAUAUGCUGAAAUUUCUUGAAGUAAAAUUUGGGCUAAAUAUGACUAAGAAUUUUACAAUGAAUUGGCUCCUAUGUCAAGAAUCUCUUCAGGCACCAUCUCAAGAUUUUUUUUUGCGAUUGACACAGUCUUCUUUAUUACCUUUUUAUAUUUUAGUGUUAGUUAUUUGUUUUCUUUCUAUGAUUCAAGUUAUUUUUCGGAGAAUUAGUGGUAAGUCCCUGAAAGAAACUAUUACACUUGAAGAUGGGCGAAUUGGAGAAAGGCCAGAAAUCAUUUAUCAUGUGAUUCACACUAUUUUAUUGGGCUCUCUUGCAAUGGUUAUAGAAGGCUUGAAAUACCUCUGGACUCCUUACGUGUGCAUGUUAGCAGCGUUUGGUGUAUGUUCUCCUGAACUUUGGAUGACACUUUUCAAGUGGCUUCGAUUACGGACUGUACAUCCAGUAUUGUUGGCUCUUAUUCUAAGCACGGCUGUGCCCACUAUAAUAGGUCUCAGCUUAUGGAAGGAGUUUUUUCCAAGAUUAAUUACAGAAUUGAUGGAACUACAAGAAUUUUAUGACCCAGAUACAGUGGAACUUAUGACCUGGAUAAAAAGGCAAGCUCCAGUUGCAGCUGUGUUUGCAGGAAGUCCACAAUUAAUGGCUGCAAUUAAAUUAUGCACUGGAUGGAUGGUGACAAGCUUGCCUCUUUACAAUGAUGAUGACUUUCUCAAGCGAAAUGAAAAUAUCUAUCAAAUCUAUUCAAAGCGAUCUGCUGAAGAUAUUUAUAAAAUACUGACAUCCUACAAGGCUAAUUACCUAAUUGUAGAAGAUGCUAUCUGCAACGAGGUGGGAACCACAAGAGGAUGUAGGGUUAAAGACUUAUUAGACAUUGCAAAUGGCCAUGCCUGAACCCACAGCAUAUGAAAGUUCCCAGGCUAGAGGUUGAAUUGGAGCUAUAUGGCUGCUGGCCUAGGCCACAGCCACAGCAACAGCGGCCCCGCUGAGGGAGACCAAGGAUCAAACCUACGUCCUCAUGGAUACUAGUCAGAUUUGUUUCCGAUGUGCAACAACAGGAACUCCCUGGAGUGUGUAUUCUGUUUAGCUUGCGACCAAGAUUUUUUCUGUCCUUUCCUAAAUAAUUAGCUCUUUGUUUUAAUCAUCCCAGACCAGUUGGACGGUCGUUUGUGAAGAAGGUGACAAGUUAACCUACUCAAAACAUGGGCGAUUUUGUCAUGAGGUCAAAAUUAACUAUUCUCCAUAUAUGAAUUAUUUCACUAGAGUAUACUGGAACAGAUCCUACUUUGUAUAUAAAAUCAACACUGUGAUAUCCUUUCAGUCUUGAAAAAUAGCAGAGCCUUCAUUUCAAAGAUGUAGACAUCUGAUGUAAAGUGCAGUUUUCUUCUACCUACAUGGUGUCUUUCAGAAAUCAGAGCUUGGACAUGUGAAAUGUUGCUGCUGCUUUUCCCCUCCUGCUGUUAACUGGAUCUAGAGUUCUGUGGGGAAAAGAAGAUCAAACAGUACUGUUCUUUGGUAAAAUGUCAAAUCUGCCAUUCUGCAGUAUUCCAGCCAGGUGUUUUUCUUAGUGUUACAUGUUCCUCUAGACUGUCGUAAAAUUUUCCUCUUAAAUCUUCAUUCCAUCAUAGCAUUGGUCUUGAAUUUGAAUAUGUUCAAGGCCAGAGUAUAGUUCUCAACCAUAACAUUUAAUAAAUACUUGAUGUGAUAUAAUUUUAGAAUAGAAGGAAAGAAUUAUUCUUAACCUCAAGGCAGUUUCUGAAGGUAAUUUCAUGGUGUAUAAUAAAACGAAACUCUGACAAAAAAAAAAAAAAAAAAAAAAAAAAAAAAGGAGUUCCCGUCGUGGCGCAGUGGUUAACAAAUCUGACUAGGAACCAUGAGGUUGCGGGUUUGAUCCCUGCCCUUGCUCAGUGGGUUAAUGAUCCGGCGUUGCCGUGAGCUGUGGUGUAGGUUGCAGACGCGGCUCGGAUUUUGCGUUGCUGUGGCUCUGGCGUAGGCUGGCGGCUACAGCUCCGAUUCAACCCCUAGCCUGGGAACCUCCAUAUGCCGCUGGAGCGGCCCAAAAAGUGGCAAAAAAGACAAAAAAAAAAAAAAAAAAAAAAAAAAACAACGAAACUCUUACAAUAAAAAACUAAUUUAAAUGUCUGCUGAGAAUUUGUGGCAUUUAAAUUAAAAUGGAAAUUUUAUAAAGGAAAGUGAUCUUUAAGGAUACACAUAAAGGUAUGUCCAGAUUUUUCCAUAAUACCACUCUAAUCAUCUGCUGCCUAUGUAAGUGAGCACUUUCCUAGUAAUAUAUGUUGCAUGAUACUGCGUUUCAUUAUUUUAUGACUAUUAACUGGCUAGCUUUUUUACACUUAUGCCCAUAAAUUUGAUACCAAUUUAAUCAUGGUAAAACAGCAAUUCUUGUUACCUAUAUAUUUUUAAAAACAGACAUUUAGAAGAAUGUUGUUCAGGUUUUUAAAAUAUGGAUAUGGGUAUACAAUCUAUUUACAUGUCUUCUACUAAAGUAUUAAGUGAAAAAGUAAGUAUUUGUCAGAAUAAGACUGUGUGUACUAAAAUGAGCAACAAUUUCUGGAGAUAUGUGCAGAUACUGUUAAACAACUCUGCAUGAUAAAACACAAGUGCUAUUAUUUAUGAAACUAUGGUACAGUCUUCAGCAUUAAGAACAAAAUGACAGUUAUAAAAUUCACAGCACAGUCUCACAAUUUAAAUGUUAUAUUUCUUCAAGUCAUGUUUUCACAUUUUAAAUUAUCAAUUAAAAGAAAUUCUAAAUUGAUAAAUUUGGCCAUAUAAAGAAAUUCAGGAUAGAUAUAUAUUUUAAUAAGAUGGGAUGCAUGUUUAUACACCUAUUGAGUGAACAGACUUUCAAAUUUUUACCUGUUAAAGUGCCGUAAAAACUGAAAUUUCAGAACUCUAAAUAACUACAUUAGAAAGGAGCAUCUUUCCAUUACCUUUAUUUUCUGUUUUAUAUACAUAUAUACACAUAUAUAUAAUUUUUUAAGUACAGAGCACAUGCAUUCUUAGACUAAGAUGUUAGCUCUAGGAUGUUUUGUUCUUAUGGAGUUUGUUGUUUGGUGGCAGUGUCAUAUGUCUGGUGCAUUUGUUUCAUUGGUUGUCAUUUCAUGCUUUUAUGUAACUUUUAACAAGAUAGCUACAGGCAGGCUAUUUCAGGUUCUCUCACUUACAUCUUAAUAGUGAGUUGCCAGUACUUAGCUUCAAGCCUUAUGAAAAUAUUACCAUAGUUACCUAAGUACACAGUGAAUAGUCACAUGGUUAUACUUAUGAUUAGAGAGAGCAUGUAAAACAAUGUAAUUUAAAAGUCAGCUUGCCUAUUUUCAAAGGGAAAUAGCACAACCUCCUUUCUAUAUAGCAUGAAAUACUUAAUUGAAUUUUUAUCAGUUUUAUGAUCAGAUAUGCUGAAUUUGUUUUUGUUGUGUUUUUUUGUGUGUGCGUUUGACAUAAUAGUAAGUUGCUUUUGCUUCUGUCAACUCAUUUCUUAAAUAAAAUAGAUUCAGAGAAGCUUUUAAUUGAAUUUUUAAAGUAUUUUUCAGUCAGCCUCAGUUGAAUAGGAAAACAUGAGCUUUAUUAUAGAAAUCAUAAUACUGGAUAUGAGAUAUAAGCUAUUUUAGCUGUAGUUAAAACAAUAGUACUUUGUUUUAGAAAUGGAAAACAGAAAACUUUGAGGAGCAUUUAAUCAAUUUCCUUACUGAUUUGCAGACUAACAGAUGAUUAAGAAUUCUGCAAGUAAUUCCAUCUGGGUGACUUAACAGUUGUUAGGUUUGACAGUCAAGAUCUACUGUGAAAGGAGCAACAUUUUGGGGUUUGGGGUGGAAGGAAUUUCUCAAAGAAAUACAAAGCAUACUUUGCCCUUGAUGUUGCAAAACCGUUGAAAUAGGUGCCUUAACCUCCUUAUUUCAAAAUUUACUUUUCAUUUAGUGUUACAGCUCAAGUGGAUUAAAAACCGACUAGUAUCCAUGAGGCUGCGGGCUGGAUCCCUGCCUUACUCAGUGGGUUAAGGAUCCGGUGUUGCCGUGAGCUGUGGUAUAGGUUGAAGACAGGGCUUGGAUCCGGCAUCACUGUGGCUGUGGUGUAGGCUGGCAGCUACAGCUCCAAAUUGACCCCUAGCCUGGGAACUUCCAUGUGCUGCAGGUGUGGCCAUGAAAAGAAAAAAAAAAAAAAAAAAAAGUAUUCAUUUUUCUUCUUUUUCAUAAGAAAGUAAUGCUAUGCUAUGCUCUUUUUGCUGUCAGCUUUAAUUAAUCAGUAAGCAAAUCUUUGUUAAGGGUAAUGAUGAAAUUUCUAGCCUACAUUUUAAAUUAAUUAGCUUCUCAAAUGCCAAACAAUCCAACAAAUGAAAUAACUUGAUAAGGUAUAUGAUAUUGACUCUGUGUUGGUUUUUAUUUUCUCUAACUUUGGCAUCUGCAUCUUAGUGCUUUUUGUUAGACUGGUAAGGUUUUACAACCUAGGGAGUAUGCAUUGUACUUCAAAACUAACUUAUUUCUUCAUUACUUUCUGUGUCUAUAGAUAGCAUGCUUUUUCAGGACAUUAACUCAGAUUGCUAAUAACCUCACUGUUGUACCCCCUUUCCAUACAGUCCAGAUUGAUUCAAGGAAAAGCAGAAAUGAAGUCAAAUUUUGGGCUGAAAAUUAUGCUUUAAAAAAUAGGUUAUUGGAGGAGUUCCCGUCGUGGCGCAGUGGUUAACGAAUCCGACUAGGAACCAUGAGGUUGCGGGUUCGAUCCUUGCCCUUGCUCAGUGGGUUAACAAUCUGGCGUUGCUGUGAGCUGUGGUGUGGGUUGCAGAUACAGCUUGGAUCCCGUGUUGCUGUGACUCUGGCGUAGGCCAGCAGCUACAGCUCCAAUUCGACCCCUAGCCUGGGAACCUACAUAUACCGCGGGAAGCGGGCCCAAAGAAGAAAUAGUAAAAAGACAAAAAAAAAAAAAAAAAAAAAGGUUAUUGGAGUUCCUGUCGUGGUGCAGUGGUUAACGAAUCCGACUAGGAACCAUUAGGUUGCGGGUUCGGUCCCUGCCCUUGCUCAGUGGGUCAAGGAUCCAGCGUUGCCGUGAGCUGUGGCGUAGGUUGCAGGCGCGGCUCGGAUCCCGCAUUGCUGUGGCUCUGGCGUAGGCCAGUGGCUACAGCUCCGAUUCGACCCCUAGCCUGGGAACCUGCAUAUGCCGCCGGAGCGGCCCAAGAAAUAGCAAAAAGACAAAAAAUAAAUAAAUAAAUAAAUAAUAGGUUAUUAAUUUCUUGAAAGAAACAAUGAAUACCCAUCUUAUCAAGCUUUGUUGUUUUUGAGAGUUCAGUUUUUUGACCCUUUCUACAUUUUAAUGCCUUCUGCAGGUAAAAGUCGUGUUUUUUAUAAAAUUGGUGGGGUUUCUAAAAGUUGUAUGUAAAUCAGGUUUUUUUUGUAAAUUUACUUUAAAUGCAUGAAUAUUUAAAGGGCAUAUAUUUUGAACUAUUCUGUAUAUUUAAGAAUCUUUUGUAAGGGAAAUAACUACUUCCUGAUUUACAUCUCAAUAUAUUCUCUCAUUUGUCCUUUUUUUUAAAAUAGAUAUUCUCUGUUGUUUCUAUCUGCUAAUAGUUUUAGCUCUGAAAUGUUGCAAGUAAUAUUGAACAGUUUCUUAUUGAAAUAAUAGCUCAUUAAGUUUUCAAAUAUGUAAAAUUUAUACUUUAAAUAAAACUUCAGGAGUUCCCACUGUGGCACAGUGGGUUAAUGAUCUGGCUUGUCUGUGGAGGCGGUGGUUUGCUCCCUGGCUCAGGUGCGGUUGGUUAAGGAUCUGGCAUUGCUGAAGCUGUGGCUUAGAUCUCAGCUGUGACUCGGAUUCAGUUCAUGGCCCAGGAACUUCCAUAUGCCACGGGUGUAGCCAAAAAAGAAAAAUAAAUUUCAUGUGAAACUUGCAAAGGAAUAUAUUUGAUUCAGCUAUUUUCCAUCCAUUAAAGUUUCUUUUUUCUUUUUUGGGGGGCACAUCUGCAGCAUGUGGAGGUUCCCAGGCUAGGGGUCCAAUCAGAGCUUCAGUUGCCAGCCUACACCACAGCCACAGCAACAGAAACACGGGAUCUGAGCCAAGUCUGCUACCUACACCACAGCUCAUGGCAAUACCAGAUCCUUAACUCACCGAGCAGGCCAGGGAUCAAACCAGCAAUCUCAUGUUCCUAGUUGGAUUCGUUUCCACUGCACCAUGACAGGAACUCCCAUUAAGGUUUCUAAACAUUAUCCUUGUUUUCCUUAAUAAAAAAGGGCAUUUUAGAACCAGAUUUGCUGAAUUUAGCAUAAAGGUGUCUCUGAAUAAUUUUUGUUUAGAAGUCUUUUAGAAUUUGCAACAUCCUAAUCUUGGCACAUAUAAUCCAGUGUGCAGUUUUAUUUAUAAGGGAUACACCAAAUGUCUUACCACUAUAUUUAGUGGAAUAAUAGCAUUAGAAAGAAACAUGCAUUCCAUACUUAUAGUUUGAAAUAUCUCAAACAACCCUUUCAUAUUUUAAUUAGCUUUGUACAUCUAUUUAACAAAGAUGAAUACAGCUGCUUUUAUGUAUGUUGACUUAAUACUACAAAAAUGUACAUUUAGAUUAAAUAUGUCCUUAUAACUAAAGCUACAUCUUUGCAAAAGAUUAAAAGGGUUGGGUUAUAAACUAGUUUACUUCAGAUUUUGUAACAUUAAAUGUGCUUUUAUCAAGAAUGAAAUUAUUUAUUUCAUGCCUAA